rnacentral:rRNA from 1 species
AGAGCGAACGCUGGCGGCAGGCCUAACACAUGCAAGUCGAGCGCCCCGCAAGGGGAGCGGCAGACGGGAGAGUAACACGUGGGAACGUACCCUUCAGUUCGGAACAACCCAGGGAAACUUGGGCUAAUACCGAAUACGUCCGUAAGGAGAAAGAUUUAUCGCUGAAGGAUCGGCCCGCGUCUGAUUAGCUUGUUGGUGAGGUAACGGCUCACCAAGGCGACGAUCAGUAGCUGGUCUGAGAGGAUGAUCAGCCUCACUGGGACUGAGACACGGCCCAGACUCCUACGGGAGGCAGCAGUGGGGAAUAUUGGACAAUGGGCGCAAGCCUGAUCCAGCCAUGCCGCGUGGGUGAUGAAGGCCCUAGGGUUGUAAAGCCCUUUCGGCGGGGAAGAUAAUGACGGUACCCGCAGAAGAGCCCCGGCUAACUUCGUGCCAGCAGCCGC